rnacentral:sRNA from 1 species
GAAGUGUCAGACGAGAUACUCGUUUGGAUUUCACAAUCACACACAGACGAGCACUACCCACUACCCACAACACAUUACACAUCUAGUUUAACAUUUUACCUCUCCCUCUAACGAAGGACCUGCCUUCAAGCGGGGGCACGUGAUCGAGGACCUCACCCUAGACGAUGGCAAUGCUUGUCCCAUCUACAACGACAUGAUCCUGGGGCGCGUUCGUGGGCUGAACGAGAAACUGGAUGCUCAAAACGUUUUGAAUGCCAGCUUGGAGUGGAGGAGAAUCCGUGGGAGUUUCGGUUAUCCGCAGGCCAGCCUCUGGCGCGGACGUGUUGAACAGCUCGAGGCGAGCGAGUGAGUGCCAUCCGACUGAUUUGUUGCCGCAAAUGACCAGACUAUUGUGUAGUUUGAUAUAUUUUAUAAAGAAAUACAAGACAAGAAAAGUUUA